AAUAAGUGCAGUUUUACACUAUUUACGUUCAACGUUUGACUGUUCGUCUUAUUUGAAAUUUUUUUUAUGAUUAGUAUUUUUAUUGCAUAAAACAUGAAUAGUACUUUAUGUGUGACUAAAUAUUUUCAAAUUUUUCAUAAUUUUUUAAAUAAGACGGACGAUCAAACGUUGGGUACAGAUAUUCACGGCUGCACUUAUU
rnacentral:pre_miRNA from 1 species